UACGUAGGGACCAAGCGUUGUCCGGAAUCAUUGGGCGUAAAGAGCGUGUAGGCGGCCACUUAAGUCCUGCGUGAAAUCUUGCGGCUCAACCGCAAGCGGUCGUGGGAAACUGGGUGGCUAGAGUGCGGGAGAGGAGAGUGGAAUUCCUGGUGUAGCGGUGGAAUGCGCAGAUAUCAGGAAGAACACCCGUGGCGAAGGCGGCUCUCUGGAACGCAACUGACGCUGAGACGCGAAAGCGUGGGGAGCAAACAGG
rnacentral:rRNA from 1 species